GUGCAAUUCUACUUAGAGAUCUUCACAACAUCUUAAGGGAAAAAUCCUUUUUGAAAGAAAAACAACUCUGGGUGGUGCUUGAAAAUUCAGAAGGCAGCUAGAAACUUUGCCAGUGACAACUGGUGAUUGCUGAGUUCCAGAGACAGACUGGGCUUCUGCUUUCUUUUGGUGGAGGUGUCUGCUUGCAGAAAAUUUAUGUUCUGGGAUUUACAACUUCAGGGAGACAAAGGAAACUCCAGGUCAUCUCCCACAUCAUUGAUUGAGAGGACCAUUUUCUGACUGUCUGCACACUGGUGCUUCGUGAACCCUGGAUGCUACAGUCUCUGGCCACAGCACUAAAUGUAUGCUGAGAUCUGGCUUCACGGUCAAGGGCGCUGCUGGUUUUCAAUGUGCCUGACAUGGGAUCAAUGGUGAAUGCACCAGAAGCCUCAUCAGUCAGAAAAUACUCAGUUUGCCCAUUCAGGCCUUCAUCCUUGUCCACAGCUGAAAGCACAAGAACCACUGUUCCCACUUCAGCAUCUUCUCUCACAGAGGACUGGUAAUAAAGUGUGGGAAAAGAAGGACUGUGGUCAUUGGCAUCCAAAACUCUAACUUGCAGGUGUAUUACAGAGCUCCUAGGUGGAUCUCCCAGGUCAGAGCACAGAACGGCAAGGGUAAAAUUGCUGACUUGCUCCCGGUCCAAAGCACGAGUGGUUGAGAGUUCUCCUGACAUCUCAUUUAUAGCAAAGUACUCAUCGGUAUUUCCAUCUAUUAAAGAAAACAAUUACAAAUUCAUUUGAAUUGAAAAAGUAGCAGCUCUUUGCUAGCACUAUCUAUGGUAUUCAUUUAUACAUUCAUUAAAAAAUAUAUUUAUUCCCGA
rnacentral:antisense_RNA from 1 species